UCAGACGAUGCGUCAUGCAUAUCAAUAAGCGGAGGAAAAGAAACUAACAAGGAUUCCCCUAGUAACGGCGAGUGAAGCGGGAAGAGCUCAAAUUUGAAAUCUUAAAGGGUUUCCCUUUACGAAUUGUAGUUUAAAGAAGUGUUUUCUGUUGAGGUUUUGGUAAAAGUUCUUUGGAAUAGGACAUCAUAGAGGGUGAGAAUCCCGUAUUUGACCUUUACUUUCAACUUUGUGAUACACUUUCAAAGAGUCGGAUUGUUUGGGAAUGCAGUCCAAAAUGGGUGGUAAAUUUCAUCUAAAGCUAAAUAUUGGCGAGAGACCGAUAGCGAACAAGUACCGUGAGGGAAAGAUGAAAAGAACUUUGAAAAGAGAGUUAAACAGUACGUGAAAUUGUCAAAAGGGAAGCGUUUGACACCAGUGUUGUUUUUCUGAAAAUCAAUUAAAGAACUGCUUUAUGCUAAGCUGUUUAGACUUUAUCAGCUAUCUGUUUAGUUUUGAGCUUUUCUUUAAUGCACUUUUCAGUUAACAAGUCAACAUCAAUUUCUUUUGCUGUAAAAAAGCUUGAGGAAGGUGGCUUGAGAUUCGUCUUAAGUGUUUAUAGCCUCUUGCCUAUGCAGUCGGAGAGAUUGAGGUCUGCAGCGUAGAUCCUUCGGGGCUAAAUGCAUUUGUGCUAAGUUAUAGCAUUUUAUAGACAACUUGUUGACUAUGAUUUGUCUUGUAGCUUACUCGCUUAUGUUAUUUUACCUACGCUUAGGAUGUUGAAGAUGUAGCACAUCAU
rnacentral:rRNA from 1 species